rnacentral:SRP_RNA from 18 species
AAGAGGGCGGCGACGCCUCGAGGGGAGAUAUCCUGCUGCCGAGCGGCCCGGGGAACGG